CAAAAAGUUACACAAGCGCACAUAAAGAAUGCCUUGACGCAAAAUACCGAAGAAGGACGUAGCAGGCUGCGAUAAGCUGCGGGGAGCUGCCAAACAAGCUUUGAACCGUAGAUUUCCGAAUGGGGAAACCCAGCUAGAGUCAUGUCUAGUUACCACUGUAUGAACUUUUGAUAGUACAGUAGGCGGUAAGUUCCCGAACUGAAACAUCUUAGUAGGGAGAGGAAUAGAAAGUAACCAACGAUUCUCGGAGUAGUGGCGAGCGAAACGGGAAUAGCCCAAACUUUUUAAGUUUUUGCCUGUUAAUUCAGGCGAAUAAGUUGACAGACGAAUGCUUAAAAGGGGUUGUGAGAUAUAAAUACCCAUGUCUGGGUGCUCGAUUUAGAGCGACCAGAUAUGGAGACAAGAGCUGUUAAUCUUGUAUAAAGUUACAAAUUGCAAUGCGAGUAGAAUCAGCUGGAAAGCUGAGCCAUAGACAGUGAUAGCCUGGUAUACAAAGUUAUUGCAACUUUAUCAUUUAUAUCUCGAGUAAGGCGGGGCACGAGAAACCCUGUUUGAAUCUGGGACGACCACGUUCCAAGGCUAAAUAUAUUUUGCGAUCGAUAGCGUACAAGUACCGUGAGGGAAAGGUGAAAAGAACCCCGGAAGGGGAGUGAAAUAGAGUCUGAAAUUGUGUGCGUACAAGGAGUCGGAGCCUUCGGGUGACGGCGUGCUUUUUGUAGAACGAUCCAGCGAGUUACUGUAUCUUGGCAAGCUUAAUCCAUUUUGGAGUAGGCAUAGUGAAAGCGAGCCUUAAGUGGGCGUUUAGUCGGAUGCAGUAGACCCGAAACCGGGUGACCUAGCCAUGAGCAGGUUGAAGCGCAGGUAAGACUGCGUGGAGGACCGAACCAUUGUAUGUUGCAAUAUACUUGGAUGACUUGUGGUUAGCGGAGAAAUUCCAAUCGAACUCGGAGAUAGCUGGUUCUCCUCGAAAUAGCUUUAGGGCUAGCGUCGUGUAGUAGCAUAUAGGGGUAGAGCUCUGUUUCGGACUGGGGCCUUCAUCGGUACCCACCCUUGAUAAACUACGAAUACUAUAUGUGUAAUCACGGCAGUCAGAACAUCGGUGCUAAGGUCGAUGCUCAAAAGGGAAACAGCCCAGACCUUCGUCUAAGGUCCCUAAAUAAACACUCAGUGGGAAACGAGGUGAGAUUUCAUAAACAGCGAGGAUGUUGGCUUAGAAGCAGCCAUUCAUUUAAAGAGUGCGUAACAGCUCACUCGUCAAGAGAUCUUGCGCGGAAAAUUUAACGGGGCUUAAGUGUUUUACCGAAGACAAGGAUUAAUAUUUUAAUAUUAGUGGUAGAGGAGCGUUCCUAUCUGCGUUGAAGGUGUGUCGUGAGGCAUGCUGGAGCGUUAGGAAGUGAGAAUGCUGGAAUGAGUAACUUUAAGAUAUGUGAGAAUCAUAUCCGCCGAAAGAGCGAGGUUUCCUGGGCAACGAUAAUCGUCCCAGGGUUAGUCGGUCCUAAGUCGAGGCGAGUAGCGUAGACGAUGGACAUCAGGUUAAUAUUCCUGAACUAGUAGUGGUGUUGUGAGUAAGUGCGCGGCAUGGUAGCGAGAGCAGAUUAAUGGUAUAUCUGUCUAAGUGCGUAGUCCUUCGGGGUGAAACACGAAUGCAACUGUCCUUUUAGGACGGGAGUCCCGUGAGCCAAGCUGACUAGAAAAGCAUAUUCACUUAUAACCACUUCUAUCCGUACCGCAAACCGACACAGGUGCUCAGGUCGAGUAGACCAAGGCGUACGAGAGAACCUUUGCUAAGGAACUCGGCAAUACAGCGACCGUAACUUCGGGAUAAGGUCUGCCCUGUGGGGUGCGCUAAGCGCAAGUAUUGCACAACGAGUACCUCACAUCUGUUCACUAGCCUAGAUCACAUCUGAAAGGCUGCAAAAAUAUUUUUCUUUUUCAAUAUAACUACAGUUAUGUUUCAAAAGCAGAAAUAUCUUUUCGCACAUUCAUAUGCAAUCUAGGGUUAGCAACCAGAUGCGAGGUACUCGUUAGAGUAAAUAGCAGUAACAAUUUGUGAAUGUCUUCGUAAGAAGACUACAAUCGAGAAAUCAACUAUCUAGUAAUAGAUAGCUUGAGACAGAAAUAACAUAUUCUAUGAACCAACAGGUUUUAUGGAUAGUUGCUAUUUGCGUAUGCAAAUAUUACUUGAGUUUAGCGUGCCCCGUGGGGCCGCAGCUAAAGAGCCCAUGCAACUGUUUACUAAAAACAUAGGUCUCUGCAAACACGAAAGUGGAAGUAUAGGGGCUGACGCCUGCCCGGUGCUGGAAGGUUAAGGGGAGAACUUUACGGUUUGAACUGAAGCCCCAGUGAACGGCGGCCGUAACUAUAACGGUCCUAAGGUAGCGAAAUUCCUUGUCGGGUAAGUUCCGACCUGCACGAAUGGCGUAAUGAUGUGGGCACUGUCUCAGCAAAGGACUCGGUGAAAGUGCAUUGGCGGUAAAGAUGCCGUCUGUCCGCACCAGGACGAAAAGACCCCGUGGAGCUUUACUACAGCUUGGCAUUGAGCCGAGCGUAUACAUGUGUAGCAUAGGUGGGAGACUUUGAAGCAGAUGCGCUAGCGUUUGUGGAGUCAUCAGUGAAAUACCACCCUUGUGUACGCUUUGUUCUUGACCUGGCCCUCAAAGUGUAGAAAAUACUUUGAAAGCCAAGUUUUAAGACCAAGGUAGCCUAAACAAUUAGGCAGUAUUGUGAAACAGCUAUAACAUCCAUGUCCUAAUCACAUCGAUGACAUCGAGAGUGGUGGUUAUAGCAAAAAUACUUUUUAAGUAUUUGUUAGUAACUUUUGGUUUAAUUACCAAUUUUGCCUAUUUGUUGGGCUACCCUAACUUAAGACACUUUCAAGAUUCUGAUUUUCUAUAAUUUCAGGGUCAGGGACAGUGCCUGGUGGGUAGUUUAACUGGGGCGGUUGCCUCCUAAAGAGUAGCGGAGGCGUUCAAAGGUUGACUAGCUUCGGAUGGAAAUCGAAGUGAUAGUGUAUACGCAUAAGUCAGCUUGACUGUGAGGCCUACAAGCCAAUCAGGGACGAAAGUCGGAGUAAAUGAUCCGCUGUAAGUACAUUUGUACAUGAAUGUGGAAUCGACAGCGCAAACGGAUAAAAGUUACCCCGGGGAUAACAGGCUUAUCGCGCCCAAUAGUUCACAUAGACGGCGCGGUUUGGCACCUCGAUGUCGGCUCAUCACAUCCUGGGGCUGGAGCAGGUCCCAAGGGUUCGGCUGUUCGCCGAUUAAAGUGGUACGUGAGCUGGGUUUAGAACGUCGUGAGACAGUUCGGAUUAUAUCCGGUGUGGACACACAAGAAACGUGAGAGAAUUCGUCAGUAGUACGAGAGGACCCUGAUGAACGCACCUCUGGUGUAUGGGUUGUGAUACCAAUUGCAUUGCCCAGUAGCUAUGUGCGGAUCGGAUAAGCGCUGAAAGCAUAUUAAGCGCGAAGCCGGCCUCAAGAUUGCGUUUCUCUAUGAGCGCCCUGAAAGACGAUCAGGUUGAUAGGUGCAAGGUGUAAGUACAGUAAUGUAUUCAGCCGAAGCAUACUAAUAGCGCCACUGACUUUUUGUG
rnacentral:rRNA from 1 species